UUAUUUUCAUUCUAAAUAAUUUACAGGAUAAUGUUGACCGUCCUCAUUUCUCUUCUUAAAAAUGAGUGUUUCUCUUGAAUGGGGGCCGGUAGCUCAGUUGGUUAGAGCACACCCUUGAUAAGGGUGGGGUCGAAAGUUCGAGUCUUUCUCGGCCCACCAAAAGAUUAAGGGGGAUUAGCUCAGCUGGGAGAGCGCCUGAUUUGCAUUCAGGAGGUCAGCGGUUCGAUCCCGCUAUCCUCCACCAAAACACUUAGCUAUUAAAAAUUGUAAAUAAAAAUAAUUAAUAUCAAUAUCUAUAUCCGAACAUUAACAAUGUUGUUAUCUAGUUAAUGUUCAAACAAAAAAUUUGAUUCAACACAGAAUUUCUUUCUGUGCAUAAAUCAAGCGUUUAAGGGCGUGUGGUGGAUGCCUUGGC
rnacentral:tRNA from 1 species